rnacentral:rRNA from 1 species
UCGAGGGGCAGCAUGGUCUUAGCUUGCUAAGGCUGAUGGCGACCGGCGCACGGGUGAGUAACACGUAUCCAACCUGCCGUCUACUCUUGGCCAGCCUUCUGAAAGGAAGAUUAAUCCAGGAUGGGAUCAUGAGUUCACAUGUCCGCAUGAUUAAAGGUAUUUUCCGGUAGACGAUGGGGAUGCGUUCCAUUAGAUAGUAGGCGGGGUAACGGCCCACCUAGUCAACGAUGGAUAGGGGUUCUGAGAGGAAGGUCCCCCACAUUGGAACUGAGACACGGUCCAAACUCCUACGGGAGGCAGCAGUGAGGAAUAUUGGUCAAUGGGCGAUGGCCUGAACCAGCCAAGUAGCGUGAAGGAUGACUGCCCUAUGGGUUGUAAACUUCUUUUAUAAAGGAAUAAAGUCGGGUAUGCGUACCCGUUUGCAUGUACUUUAUGAAUAAGGAUCGGCUAACUCCGUGCCAGCAGCCGCGGUAAUACGGAGGAUCCGAGCGUUAUCCGGAUUUAUUGGGUUUAAAGGGAGCGUAGAUGGAUGUUUAAGUCAGUUGUGAAAGUUUGCGGCUCAACCGUAAAAUUGCAGUUGAUACUGGAUGUCUUGAGUGCAGUUGAGGCAGGCGGAAUUCGUGGUGUAGCGGUGAAAUGCUUAGAUAUCACGAAGAACUCCGAUUGCGAAGGCAGCCUGCUAAGCUGCAACUGACAUUG